CUUAACUGCUGAGCCAUCUCUCCAGCCCCAGUUUCUAUUGAUCUGAAAGACUACUUUUCUUUCCUUGCAUGGAUCUUACCAUCCUGGAACUCACUAUACAGACCAAGCUGAUCUUGAUCUCAGAGAUUCAUCUACCUCUACUUUCCUAGUGCUGGGAUUAAAGGUGUACUCCACAUGCAGCUCAACACCCUCAUGAUUUCGAGCUUUCUGUUACUUUUACGGAACAUCUGAGGUAAUCAACUUCAACAAGAAGAAGGGUCUAUUUUGGCUCCUGGUUUUGGAGUGUCCAGACUAUGAUCUAAUCCCAUCUCUCGUAUUACACCACAGCGAGAGUGCAGUAGGAGACACUGCUCACCUCCUGGCCGAAAGCAAAGCCCCAGGAACAGCCCUGCAGCCCCCUCUGAGAGCAAGGCCCCAAGGACCAGAACGUGACUAUUCUCCCCAUUAAUGCUACUGCUGCUGUCCAGCAGCACCGAGGGCUCAGGAUGAAGCCUUUGGCACUGGGGCAUGGGGGUGGGGUGGAGAGUGGGUUGGAGGAUGGGUAGGUUGGGAGUAGGGGGUGGAGGAGUGGGAAGUGUGAGGGUGUGAGGCUGCACCGGGGAAGAAGCCUCUCACACAGAGACCACACAGAGGUUCUGAGGUUGUAUGUCAGGCUAAUCUCCAGAUGUUUCGCAGUUCCCACUGCCGUUGAAAGCGGUUGCUUGGAUAUAAGUAGUUAUGCGAUUGUAAGGGGCAUAGACAAGAGCAUAGCUGCAUAACAUGGUAUCCAGAAUCACUGUGGAACUUUCAUGUCCACAUGCCGUGAGCUGCAGAAUAGGACAAGCUGGCAAAGACGCUUCAACUCUCCUGUUUUUACUGUCUUCCCAAGUAAGACAGGAAAUGCAAUAGGUAUUUAAUGUAGAGCAGAACUGGUUCAAAAUUUUCCAACCCCCAGAUGAUAGAAAUGUACCCCAUGUUUAUAAAAGGUUAAAAUGCAUUUUAUAAAAGAGGGGUUUCAUUAAAGUUAACACAAGGGUCAUCUUCGCACUGGCCAAUUGUGGCAAAAAAAAUCUAAUUCGGUCCACAUUUCUUACUAUUUGCUGAUAGCAUCGCCUUCCUCAUGUCUAAUACGAACAGACUGGGAUGUUUUAUUUAUGCAAUGAACUUACAAUCUUCUACACUAACGAUGCUGAAAAUAAACAGAUGUGUAAAACUGAGCAUAGUGCUAAGUCCUGAACAAAGGGGUUCAUUGGUGUUCUGAUUUCUGAAGUAUAUGUCCUCUCUUGUUUCCAUACUUGAGAUCCCACAGAACUGUGCUGUGUCCUCUCAUGAAUUCUAGGGACAGAAACCACCAAGCUUCUGAAGUACACAAGGCUGAACCUCGAGUCUCAGACAGUUGGAGGAAAAUUCAGUUUCCCUCGCUCAUUACGAGCUUAUGUCUUUCUCUUGAUCUUUGAAGCUACUCAACACCCGCUGUUUGUAGAGAGAAUAUCUUGUGUAUUGUAUGGAUAUGUCGCCGGCCAAUUAAAAAGCCCAUGGCCUAUGGAAGGAGGGAAAUAGAAGGUGGGAUAUCUGGGAGGAGAAAGGAUUCAGGGAUAGAGCCAGGCAGGAGAUUGGCCAGGAAGACAUGAUGAGAUGGCCACACCGUACCUAAGCACAUGUAAGCAGCCAUGUGCAGAAUGUAGAUUAGAAUAGAUAAAUGGGUUAAUUAAGUUAUGAUUCGAGUUAGAGUAGAGCCCAGCUAUAGGGCCAAGGUCUUAUUUCUGGGAGCAUAGGACUGGGAGGAAGAACUGGACCAAACAUCUCCAACGUUACAAUAUUCACAUGACAUAAAUAAACAGUCAUAUAUGCAUCAGCAACACGCAUAACUCAUAUAUUAUAAAAUGAUUACUUUUAAAAUUACAUUGAAUUACAAAAUUCUAAUGUAAGCCUCCAAAGAAUAGAAGCAAAAACUCGUUUGCCAUUCAUUUGAAAGCAGUGUUCCUUAGAAUCCUUGGGCGGGAUGUGCAGAGACAUAGACUGGAGAGCCGUCUUACUGCAUGACUUCCUGGUGGAUGAGAAAUGACCACGGCUUGAUCAGAAAGAAAGAAAACAAAAGUAAACUCAAGACCUGGGAGGUGAUCCACUUCAUUUGGGCCCAACAAUAAUUUUCUUCCUCUUUUCUUCUUUUAAAGUUUUUUGGAUGCCAUUUGGAGGGGGUAGGGCAGAGCGCACCCAAGAUGAUGCCUGCCCAGGGCCACUAGGAGACACCCAGAGGCCCCGGGCGUCACUAAGAUGAGCAUGUAAGUGGAGGACAGACGGAAGAGAGAGAGAAGCAGGGCGGUUUGUGCACUAUGAAGAGAGGCAGACUGGAGACUCAGGCGUGGCAAGGGACAGCUGGAUGUGAGUGGUCUGGGCUGCCACCUGAGGCCACGGUGGGGUUUUCAUUGGUGCUGCCACCACCCAGGGCCAUGUCUGGGUCUGUGGCCCUGCAGCAGUGGGUUUGUGGGGAUGUCUGUGACCAAUGUUACCACUAAGGUAAGGCCACGUUGACAUCCCUGGUCUGGGCUGCUGCUUGGGGCCAUGUUGAUAUCUGAGGGCUUUACAGGGCUGGCCAGGCCCCUCGCUGGCUACAGAACUGGCUC
rnacentral:sRNA from 1 species